rnacentral:rRNA from 2 species
UUUGCCAGCCGGCCGCGGUAAUACGUAGGUGGCAAGCGUUGUCCGGAUUUAUUGGGCGUAAAGCGAGCGCAGGCGGUUUUUUAAGUCUGAUGUGAAAGCCUUCGGCUCAACCGAAGAAGUGCAUCGGAAACUGGGAAACUUGAGUGCAGAAGAGGACAGUGGAACUCCAUGUGUAGCGGUGAAAUGCGUAGAUAUAUGGAAGAACACCAGUGGCGAAGGCGGCUGUCUGGUCUGUAACUGACGCUGAGGCUCGAAAGUAUGGGUAGCAAACAGGAUUAGAUACCCUGGUAGUCCAUACCGUAAACGAUGAAUGCUAAGUGUUGGAGGGUUUCCGCCCUUCAGUGCUGCAGCUAACGCAUUAAGCAUUCCGCCUGGGGAGUACGGCCGCAAGGCUGAAACUCAAAGGAAUUGACGGGGGCCCGCACAAGCGGUGGAGCAUGUGGUUUAAUUCGAAGCUACGCGAAGAACCUUACCAGGUCUUGACAUACUAUGCAAAUCUAAGAGAUUAGACGUUCCCUUCGGGGACAUGGAUACAGGUGGUGCAUGGUUGUCGUCAGCUCGUGUCGUGAGAUGUUGGGUUAAGUCCCGCAACGAGCGCAACCCUUAUUAUCAGUUGCCAGCAUUAAGUUGGGCACUCUGGUGAGACUGCCGGUGACAAACCGGAGGAAGGUGGGGAUGACGUCAAAUCAUCAUGCCCCUUAUGACCUGGGCUACACACGUGCUACAAUGGAUGGUACAACGAGUUGCGAACUCGCGAGAGUAAGCUAAUCUCUUAAAGCCAUUCUCAGUUCGGAUUGUAGGCUGCAACUCGCCUACAUGAAGUCGGAAUCGCUAGUAUCGCGAUCUUCCUUUCCCA